AAGAUCAUACUUCACAGGAUCAGUUCUGUAGGAGUUGAUCUCAUUCUCCCUCCCUAACAUGGGAGUUGAUGUAACCACGACGAUGAGUAAUAGUCCUCUUCUCUGAGCGUGAGAACGACAUGAAUUCUUGACGUGUUUCGAGAACUUCUGUCAUCAAUGAUCGUUCACUAUCUGUAUCUAGUGCAGAUGGGAUGGGAAGUAGGAUUUUCUGAGUGGU
rnacentral:snoRNA from 1 species